UAGAUACCCUAUUAUUUUGAUUGUAUUAAGUUUAUCAUAUUAUUAAUAGUUAUUUCUUGUAAAAUAAAAAGGCUUGGCGGUAAUUUAAUCUUUUUAGAGGAAUCUGUUCAGUAAUUGAUAAUCCACGUUGUAUUUUACUUAAAUUUAGCUUGUAUACCUCUGUCAUUGAAUGUCUUAUUAGGGUAUUUUCGAAAUUUAUUUUUUUAGUUUAUGUCAAGUCAAGGUGCAGCAAUAUUUUAGUUGAAAUGGAUUACAUUUUAUGUUUAUAAUUGGAAAUUUAUAUUUAUACAUAAAUGGAAAUUGGAUUUAAAAGUAAAUUUUAUUAUU
rnacentral:rRNA from 1 species